GACGAACGCUGGCGGCGGGCUUAACACAUGCAAGUCGAACGAAGUGGCGAACGGGUGAGUAAUACGUGAGUAACCUGCCCUCAUGUUUGGGAUAAGCCUUGGAAACGGGGUCUAAUACCGAAUAAAGGGGGAUGGGCGCGCGGCCUAUCAGCUGGGUGGUGGGGUGAUGGCCUACCAGGGCGGUGACGGGUAGCCGGCCUGGGAGGGUGACACGGCACAUGGGAACUGGUCUAGGGCCCAAACGCCUACGGGAGUGGGGAGUGGGGGACAUUGGACAAAGGGCGAAUGCCUGAUGCCGCGGUGCCUGGUGGGGGAUGAAGGCUUUCGGGUUGUAUACCUCUUUCGGUAUCGAACGGGUAGGUGGAGAAGAAGCGCCGGCUAACUACGUGCCAACAGCCGCGGUAAUAC
rnacentral:rRNA from 1 species